UGAAACAAUAACAUAAAACUUGGCCUUGGACCUCAAUCUUGAAAUUCUUAACUUCAAAGCUGUUGGUGUUAAAUGACUCUUCUGAUUUUAUAAAGCUUAAUCUUUGGUAGAAGAACUUGAUGUGGAAAGCCAAUGUUUCUACUCACUGUUAGUUUUCGGGCCUCAAAAUUCAGGAUUUUGCCUCCAGAGCAUUUCUUGAAAAAAGUGCUGUGGAGGUAGAGGCCUCUCAACAGCAAUUUGUCCCUUGCCCAAGACAAAUUUGCCUCAGCUUAUUUUAGGCAUAGCAACCCUGCCAGAGUGAUUGCGGAGCUCCCGUGGCAAUGCACACCUGGAUCCGGAGCCUAAGAACUGGGGCUGUAUAAUUAGAAUAAGGCAGCCAGGCCCAUAACUUUGGGGUUACCAUUUGCCGCGAGUGCCGUGGAGAAUUUACCAUUCAGAAUCAAAAGUUAAGUGAGAACCAUUAUCUUUUUCAGCCCCUCCACCUGAUGACCCACAUUAACAGGGAAGGAGAUGAAGGCAUUCAGAUUUGGUAUGGCAUCGUCAUUCUACUGACAAGCCAUGGCCCGUUAACAAAAUUUACCAAGGACCACAGUUCUUUGCUGCGACAGUGGCUGGGUUUUGCUGACCACAAUACCAUUUGAACUGGAAAUGUUGUUGCGAGAAGAAUCCGUCUUGGGAUACAAGCCUAAUAGCAAGAUCAGAGGGCAUGGUUCCCACGAAGGCUGUCCAAGGGAGAUUCAGCAACCUACUUGAUCAGCAUGGUUUCAAGAUCAUUGGGCUUGGGUGUCACGGGGGCCUGGAGAAACCAUCACGUUGCAUGGAUGCUCGGAGACUCUCGUCACCCCUGGAAUGCCUGCUGUGAACAAGAGCUGGGGCUGAACCAAGCUGAGAUUAUUGACAAUCCCUAUCAUGUUGCCAACGUCACCAAUGGCAGGACUGAAGAUGGAUCCAUUGGAAACUAAAGGCUUUUCCUCAGCCAACACCUCAUGAACUAGACUGGAAAAUAGCACAGGUGAUCAAGACUGAUACCGCACAAUCUUCCUCCUGGUUAACAAGCUAAGACCAAUCCAGAUGGGGAGGGUUGGCCCUCCAACACCACUACCAAUGCUCUCAGCUGGGAUCAGUGGACUGCAGCAAUAUCUUACUGAAGACAAAGAUGAGGGAAUCUACAAUGUUGAUGCAAGAUUGCCCUGUGAUGUCCAGGCGUCUUUGACUACAAUGCUUUGGUUCACCAGUAGGUCCUCGGAUGGUAAAGUUUGGACACAACAUCCUGAGCAUGAAGAAUAUUCUGAAAGACAGCACAAACAAUAUUUGGACAUUCAAUUUUUCAGCUGAGAAGGACCUUUUUUCAAGUUAGGACUAAAGCCCCUGGGCCUGCUUUAGGCCUAUAACUGUAGUUUGUGCUCUGUAGUAUGUGAUUUGAAAAGAUUGGAGUAAGGAUUGUACAAUGGAACAAGUGUCAUUUUGUUUGCCACAGUAACUUAAGGCAGUGUUAGUGACCCAUUUGUUUUCAGUUUACAAAGCCAUCAUGAUCAACUGCAUUGAUCCCUCAAAAGAUUGUUGGAGUGACUCCAUUAAAUGUAACAAAAAUAUCCAACACCUGGUACUCUAGUUACUGUAGGUUAGCUACUGAAGUGACCUUUUUGUUUUCACUUUUAAAAACCUAUGCGAUUUGCCGCACUGAAGGUCCCUCCUGAGAUUGUUGGACUGGGUCCAUUAAAUGUGACAAAAAUAUCCAACACCUAUUUACAAAUGAAGUGAGGGGGUCAGCCUUUUGGUGUAACUCCAUAUAACUGUCUGGUGAUUUCGCUCUGGGCUUGUGACAUUCUGAUCGGUCUGAAAUAAUCAUUGUCGCCCAUCCCUCAAUUUGAGGCCUGUGUCCCGAUGGUGGCGUUGAAUGGCAAAAUCAAAGGGGCAU